CGUAGCUCACAAGUUUUCUGCGAUUCCCAGGAAAUUGAACUUAAAAAUUUGCUGAAAUUGCAACUGUUUCGCUGAAAAUUUAGAUUAUCAAAGAAAUCCAUCCACCCGCCAUCAAAACAAAACAAACACAAAGCAAUUCACUUAACUCCGGAACUUAGGCGCUACUUAAAAAAUGCUCAAAUCAAAUCGAGAUGUAAGCAGCAAAUAAUUUCAAGGCGUGACGAAACAUGUUGAAAUGCACAACUCGGUAACCGCCUCUGAUCGACAGCAACUUGUGCGGAAACCAGCGACGGCCGGGACGCGUGCAACACACUCAGCUCGAAUCUCUCUCUCUCUCUCUCUCUCUCUCUCACUCUCUCUCUGGUUCUCCGGCUGGUCUUGUACACGUUUUUCUACUCGCUGCGCUAGCGGGUGCCGCGCUCAGCUCUGCUCUGCUCUGGUUUUUUUUUCCUUUCGUCUUUUUUGACAACUCAACUGACGCAUUGCCCAAUGGGGGAGGUGGCGUGCUGUGGGUGUGGGUGCGCGUUGCGCCUUUGGCUAUGCCUGCCACAACUAGCACAAAUGCAGCGACUCACACGGCGACAUCAUCAAUCUAAAAAAUGUUGAAAAAUCUCAGUGGCUGUGCAGGAGAAGGAGAAUGAGAAGGAGGAGGUGGAGGGGACACGGGUCUCUGGUAUUUGGUAUGUUUAAAAUGCAUGUUAAAUGUCCAUGCCUUUCGCUUUUCAACUGGAUAUUUGAUGGAGUGGCGGCGCUACGAAAGCAUUUCAUGGGAAAGUGUUAUAAUUCAAAUGAUUCGUUCAGUCAUUGUAAUUGAUUUUUAUACUCUGAGUGAGUGAAGGGUAUGUUGAGGCUUAGAUUUAAUUUGACUAUAUCGCUGGUGUGUUGACCUGAAAACUCGUGACGGAUAAUUAAUAAGAGAUUAAAACUCGUUGUCUCUGUGAUUAAUGUGUUUCUCAUGACCUGAGAGGAAGGAGAUAUAUGAUUAACAUAGCUUAUGAGAAUCGCAAAGAAAGGCAGUGGGUCUGAGAUAUGGAGAUCGAACAGGCAAAAAAUUAGUGAUAGGAUGGGAACUAUAUAGCGAAUGUGUGUAGGAUAUUCAUUUCCAGUCAUCAAACAAUAAAUGAUCAAUGGAACAAGCUGAACUGUAUAUAGAAGCUAUACCCUCCACUCAGUGAUUCGCCCAGCAAAACUAAUUACAAAGCUGAACCACAAAGCAAGAAUUUACCCAAAAUGAUUUUGGCACAACCGAAAAGCUGAAACCAGCAGCCGCAAUCAACAGCGCAGGAGUAAACGCUGCAUAAAAAGCAGGCGGCAGCUACAACAAGAACUGGUGGAAACCAACAAAACCACUCGACAUGUCAACUGAAAUAGAAAUGGAGACGCCAGCACACGGAGCCGUAGACAAGGUCUAACUUUUUGGCUCUGGCUGGAGUGACAUGAAAAGGACAUGUCACACCGUAUGCGCACAUUAAGUGUAGCCACAAUUUAUCAAGCCGCAUAAAUCUAAAUAGAGUCUGGGAGAGUUGGCAGUCGCUUGCAUGGGCGCAUCAAAAAGUCAAAAAGCUAAUUUGCAUUUAAAAGGACAGCAGCAAGAGCAGCAACGGAGCGGACCAACAAUGAUGCUGACGUAGCCGCCAUCACAGCCAUCAGGGCCAUCGCCUGGCCAUGCAUGCAAAAUAUUUUAAGCAAUAUUUUCAAUUUAAUAAGCCAAGAUAAAUGAAGGGCAGAGCAGAAAGUGGAGGGAGGACCACACCACAGGCGGCAAACGAGCCAAAAUUUAUAUAUAUAUAUAUAUAUAUAUAUUGCUAUGUAGAUUUGAGCACACACUCAGAGAGUGAGUUGGCAUAUGUGUGGCCCGUGUCCAUGUGCUUAUUUGCAUAGUUUGGUAUGCUUUGGCAAUUUUUGUCAAUAUGCCAUGCACUUCAUCAAACUAGACGACUCUGGGGCUCACUGCUCUGCUGUGCUGCGUCGAUAAGACGUCUUUUGUGUGCCAACUCUUUGGUGGCUUACAGCUGAAGUGAGAUAAGUUAAAUGACUUUGCAUAUUUAGUCACAAUUCAUGGGACACGCUUUAAAAUUGAAUUUGACUCUGAUGCAUAAAUAAGCCGGCCGAGAAUUCAUAACAUUAUAUUUUACAAUUUAUCAAGUAAUUCGAUUUGAGAGAGCCAAAAUCGCUUGAAUUGCAGCCUGAUGCCAUAUAGAUAGCCAGCUCAGGCAAAUUAGCCUGUAAUCAAAUAAGUUAACGAGCAGUAAACAACUGACAAUUGAUGCAUAUAAUUGCACUUGCUGACAAAAUUCAACAAUUGGCAAAAUUUUCAAACCUAAUUACGUUACGACGACGAGGAGUUGUAUCAAUGCCCGUUGCUUCCAUUGUCGAAUGACAAUCUCAGAAUCGCCGGAGUCAUCCAGUCUCCGACUAGAGAGGGAUUGGCUACCAGUGCAUCGUUAAAAGUAUUAAAUAUUAUGAAUYAUCGAUUUAUAUGCUGGAGAAUAUCAGGAAU